rnacentral:sRNA from 1 species
GAUUAGGAUAUCCUUUAAUUGAGAUUGA